rnacentral:rRNA from 1 species
AAGUGGGGGACCUUCGGGCCUCACGCCAUCAGAUGUACCCAGAUGAGAUUAGCUAGUAGGUGGGGUAAUGGCUCACCUAGGCUAUGAUCUCUAGCUGGUCUGAGAGGAUGACCAGCCACACUGGAACUGAGACACGGUCUAGACUCCUACGGGAGGCAGCAGUGGGGAAUAUUGCACAAUGGGCGCAAGCCUGAUGCAGCCAUGCCGCGUGUAUGAAGAAAGCCUUCGGGUUGUAAAGUACUUUCAGCAAGAAAGAAAGUAUUUUAGUUAAUAACUAAAAUAAUUGACGUUACUUGCAAAAGAAGCACCGGCUAACUCCGUGCCAGCAGCCGCGGUAAUACGGAGGGUGCGAGCGUUAAUCGGAAUUACUGGGCUUAAAGCGUACGUAGGCGGUUAAUUAAGUUAGAUGUGAAAUCCCCGAGCUUAACUUGGGAAUUGCAUUUAAAACUGGUUAGCUAGAGUCUUGUAGAGGGGGGUAGAAUUCUAGGUGUAGCGGUGAAAUGCGUAGAUAUCUAGAGGAAUACCAGUGGCGAAGGCGGCCCCCUGGACAAAGACUGACGCUCAGGUACGAAAGCGUGGGGAGCAAACAGGAUUAGAUACCCUGGUAGUCCACGCCGUAAACGAUGUCGACUUGGAGGUUGUGCCCUUGAGGUGUGGCUUCCGGAGCUAACGCGUUAAGUCGACCGCCUGGGGAGUACGGCCGCAAGGCUAAAACUCAAAUGAAUUGACGGGGGCCCGCACAAGCGGUGGAGCAUGUGGUUUAAUUCGAUGCAACGCGAAAAACCUUACCUACUCUUGACAUUCAGAGAAUUUGCUAGAGAUAGCUUAGUGCCUUCGGGAGCUUUGAAACAGGUGCUGCAUGGCUGUCGUCAGCUCGUGUUGUGAAAUGUUGGGUUAAGUCCCGCAACGAGCGCAACCCUUGUCCUUUGUUGCCAGCACGUAAAGGUGGGAACUCAAAGGAGACUGCCGGUGAUAAGCUGGAGGAAGGUGCGGAUGACGUCAAGUCAUCAUGGCCCUUACGAGUAGGGCUACCCACGUGCUACAAUGGCAUAUACAAAGAGCAGCAAACUCGCGAGAGCAAGCGAACCUCAUAAAGUAUGUCGUAAUCCGGAUUGGAGUCUGCAACUCGACUCCAUGAAGUCGGAAUCGCUAGU